GGGAAAUCGCCUUCGACGAGUGAAGUCUGCUGUCCGGACAGUGAUUGUGACAUCAUUGAUGCGCUGUGUGUUCCGGACUCACGUUUCCUCGGACUUUAAAGUAACUACGUAAACAUUGCCCUGAGUGGCGGCUGUGGUCUGGAACUACUCCUCCCCACAACCCCCCGUCUCUUGGGAUUCCUGAUGGAGGAAUGUGCCAGACUUUAGAGAAGACGAAGCGUCCUCCCUCCCUUCCAACUGUUCCUGUCUCCUCACCCUCUUGGAGUCACGCACAACUAAUCCCACGCAUCUAUUAAGCACUGACCGUAUCUGCUGAUACUGCGUGGGAAGCUGGCAGAAGAGGGGAUGUAGAACGAGGACAUCUGUUUGGGCACCAGAGCCACCACACAGCGCUCCGACACCUGGGAGACACACACAGCUGCUACCUUCAGGGGUCUCCACAGAGGAUCAUCAAGAAACGUCGACCUGUUUACGUUCUGAAGGAUGGAUUUGGGUGAGAUGAUGGAGCCGAUCUGCUUCAUGCUGAUAAUCUUUUAAAAGUCAUUUGGAGCCGGGGUCAAACCCAAAGCGGAGGACAGGGCACACCCUAGACCAGACCUGGGCAAACUACAGCCCGGUUUCCAAGUCCGGCUCACCAGACACUAGUAUAAGCAGACUGCAGCCCUGGGGCCGCAGAGACCGUACCACACCCCGCACCCUCCCUCCCCCCACCACUGGGGUCCCUGUAUUUACCCAAUCACUGAGAACGGCUGUGAUCUGCUGCGAACACUCCCUGCUGGACUAACUACUGGAUCUUCAAGUGAAAUCAGUUUGGUUCAGAUCCAGUACACUAGCAGUUACAUGAUUACUCAAAUUAUUUUUGUAGCAAAAUAAAUCGUAAUAAUUUGAGAGUUUAUAAUUAUAUGAGGGUCUGUGGAGUUAGUGUGAUAUUAAUAGUUGACUAAAUCUUUUUUAUUUCUUUUUUUACUUUAAAAUUAAAAAUAUAUAUAUUUUAAUAACAUUGCAUUUACACAAGGCACUCCAUACAGAGAUUUUAAUAAAAUAUAAAAAUAUAUAUAAAUAUAUGUCGUGAUCGAAAGAGUCUUAAAAACUGUCCAUCAAAGCUAUCCAUCAAAAUAUUUAAGGUAAAGUGUUUUCAAAUACUGAUAAAACUAUCAAUUUAUUUGCGUGUUUUUAAUUUUCAACUCUUGGGUAAAAAAGUGAAAUCUGUCUGGAUUAUUACUGAAUGUAAUCCCUGAAACCAGCGGUGACAUGAGGCUACUGAACUUAAUCUUUCUUUGUUGGAAAAUAGCUUAGCAUUACAGUGAAUGAGCUGUUAUGUUUGCUGAGACAGAACAUGCCGAAGUAUCACCUGUGUAAAGUCUCUUUCCACCUUUUCUUUUUUUUUCUUCCUUUGUGCAACACAGCAUUCCAUGCAGGUUGAAACACGGCAGUGUGUGCGCUCCCUGUCUGAAGGCAACACACAAACUGGGUGGGUUCGGGAAAAUAGGUGACACACUCGCAACUUGCUCAAAGUUCAAAAGCACGGAACUAAAAAAUAAGAAUAAAAACAUCUGAAACUACAGUCAUUUGAUUAAUAAUAAAAAAACUACACUUUGAAAUGCAAAAUCAUCUACUGUACAAAAUAAAAAUGUUCUUUUUAAUGAUAUUUUUCAUUGUUUGCUUCGUUCAAACAUGGAAUGGUCAGUUUAAACGACUGUUCACCAGAGCAGGUGAGAAGUGAACGGUAAAUGUUAGAGCGACUUGUUCGGUCUGUCAUCACUAUAAAAUCACUGGCUUCUACUUGGUUCUCAGUAACUACGGUAACAAUACAAAAAUCCCCACAAUGACGAUUUAACAAGAUAACAUAUACUUUAUGUUUAAUUUUAGAUCAAUUAUUUUUCCCUGCUGCACUCAGUGACUUAAUGCAGAUUGUGACAUCUGUGUAAUUCGGGGGCUUUUUUGUAGGGGGAGGGGAGUGAUGUGAAGAAAAAGGCUAUAUUAGGGUGUAGACCAGCUUCAAAGCAGAAAAGAGGGCGGGGCUUUAAAGCUGCUGCUGCUCUGCCAUUGGCUGUGAUGGGGGACAAAAAUACCUGUACCUGCAGCAGGUAAACAGACUGACAACAGGCACAGGAAGGAUGGACUACACUGGAGCAGUGAGGAGUCUGGGAGACUUUUGUAUUUCCCUUCCAUUUUUUUUCUUCACAUUUUCAUGUUUUUUUGUUGUUUGUUUUUUGUAUCUGUUGCUUCAAAUAGACUGCACAUUUUACAAUUUUAAUAAGUUUGCUCCACAGCAGGUGAGUUGGUUAGAGGUUGCAAGUUCUUUUCUCUUUUUAUUCUUUUUUUAAAGACUUAAAAGAAAGAAAAAGAAAACCGGUGAUGUGAACUUUAGUCACUGUUAGCGUUUGUUUUUGAGGGUUUUUUAUUUGCAUGUUUUACAGCAGAUUCAGGUUCAAUAGAUUAAAGAGAAGAUGGGAAGAGCCGUAAACAGGUCCUGAGCAGGUACAGGCCUGUCUGGCACACCCUUCCAACACACACACGGAAUGACACACAAAGACUCACACCAAUAGAACCUGUCUAUCAUGUACUUGUUUUUUUUUUAUUUAAUCUGUCUUUUUCCCUGACAGAAAAAAACCACCCCUGAAAGUGUCGACCAGUCCAUCGGCGUGAUUCCACUCUGGAGAAACGACAGCCGUGGCCUCGUUACUCAGAACAUCCAUGUAUUUUAUCCUUCAUUCCACCGGAGUCUGUGUUAAGAGCAAAUCAGAUUUCAGUGGUUUGAAGAGUAGGAAACAUGGAAUCAUUCAUCUGAAAAGGAGUGGAGGAAGGGGUUAAUUAUAAUAACGGCAUUACUUUGUACACAUUUUUAAAUUAAAUGUGAUAUGUGGUCUGUGUGACCAAUGAUGUCAGCCUGGUGUUGAAGGCAACAGUUGCACACAAGCACAGACAGACACGACUUCUCCCUCUCUCACCUGCACUGCGACAGCAGAUGCACUGAUUGCACUUAAGCGUCACUGCAGGAUCUGAGAGUGCUGCCAGGCCCACUUUAUGUCUUUGGUACCGUCACUCACGGAGGUGUUUGUCCUGCCUUCACUCUGACUUCCUGCCCUUGAUUCUACGGGAAAACGUCAAUUACAUAAUUACUCCUGAAGUCCCAUCUUUCCAAAUCCACCUCAAACUGUGGUGGGCGUGGGCAGAGAUGAUUUGCAUCUACGAGGUCUCUUCAUCUUGUACUUCACACAUACAUAUAUGUACUCACACAUUGUCAGCGUACUGAGUAAUUAUACACAGAAUGACAAAUAUUGUCUGUGAGAAAAUGAGCUUCACAGCUGACCUUUGACAUUGGCCGUCACCUGAAAGUCUUAAUUAUAUCCAAGCAGUCAGCUGUAAAUCUGGUGUCAACUGCAUUGAGCUCUACGUCACCCAGCUGUACUACCUAAUUAAGGUAGAGGUAACAUAAGGUAUUAAAAAAAAAAAAAAAAACAACAGAAUAAAUCAGUGGCCAAGGAGCAUAAAUUUAUACAGACAAGAAUGAACUAACAGAGCUGUUUUGACAGGUUCCGUCUCACGUUCACAUCAUGAACUAUGUUUUAUAGUAGACGAGUUACUUCAUGCAGUGUUAAAAAAACUGUAAAUAAAAAGUUUUAUUACAACUACGACCAAAGAACC